UACGGAGGGUGCGAGCGUUGUCCGGAAUCACUGGGCGUAAAGGGCGCGUAGGCGGCUGGGGAAGUCGGCGGUGAAAGCCCGGAGCUCAACUCCGGGUCGGCCGUCGAGACUCCUCGGCUCGAGCUCACUAGAGGCAGAUGGAAUUCCGGGUGUAGCGGUGGAAUGCGUAGAGAUCCGGAAGAACACCGGUGGCGAAGGCGGUCGGCUGGGGUGAGGCUGACGCUGAGGCGCGACAGCGUGGGGAGCAAACAGG
rnacentral:rRNA from 1 species